rnacentral:rRNA from 1 species
AGUGAACGCUGGCGGUAGGCCUAACACAUGCAAGUCGAACGGCAGCACAGUAAGAGCUUGCUCUUACGGGUGGCGAGUGGCGGACGGGUGAGGAAUACAUCGGAAUCUACUUUUUCGUGGGGGAUAACGUAGGGAAACUUACGCUAAUACCGCAUACGACCUACGGGUGAAAGCAGGGGAUCUUCGGACCUUGCGCGAUUGAAUGAGCCGAUGCCGGAUUAGCUAGUUGGCGGGGUAAAGGCCCACCAAGGCGACGAUCCGUAGCUUGUCUGAGAGGAUGAUCGGCCCACACUGAACCGAGACACGGGCCAGACUCCCACGGGAGGCAGGCGUAGGGAAUAUUUGGCAAUGGGGCGCAGCCUGAACCAACCCCUCCGGGGGGGUGAAGAAGGGCUUCGGGUUUGAAAACCCUUUUUUUGGGGAAAAAAAAAGGGGGAAUUAACUCCCCACUUUUCGACGGUAACCAAAAAGAAAGCCACGGCUAACUUCGUG